GUUUCGGUCCCAGAGGUAAAGAGAAAGGGAAGUCCACACUCUGGGUUUAUGGCCUUGAAGUCGAGCAAGCUAUACUAAGAGAACAGAAGCCUAAUCCCCCAGGAAAUAUUUCUGAAAGACUCCAGGAUGGCUUGCCAAGAGCCUUACCUGUGGAAGGUGCUUCCUUUGUAUCCUAUUGGAACCCCAUCUUUCCUAUAACCGAAAAGAAAGAGACUUGGAGUGACAGCAGGUAGCACAAGGCCUUUCCAGUUUACCAUGCACUGGAGCCAAAAGGACUCUCCUAAAGAUGGUUGACAGACAUAAAGAAGGCAAAUAAACUAGGGACAGACCCUUGGGGCAUUACCUUCUAUCACUGUCACCAGCAAUCAUUCAAGGCCAGCAGGUGGUUCACCGAUACCCUCACUGCAGCCCCAGAACACCCCUCUGGAGCAGGCAAAGAAGUCAAACACAUCUGAAACUGACCUGAAUUCUCCGGUGCAGAACUGCCUGAAAGGGACAAAAAAUGAAUGAUUCAAUCACUAUGAUGUCACAGUCGUGAGCGCCUCUAAAUACGGGAAAGAAUAAACACUGGAGCCAGCAAGUCCACCAAUCGGCCAGCCAGACGUCCAGACACGCAGUCACACAGACUAACAACGUAAAUUAACACGGGAACAAUCCAAACGGCAACCAGACAGAGCAAUGCAUGGAGGAAUCAGGUCUCAAGAGCAGUGAGCGGACGGACAGAGGUAGACAGGCUAUUUCAGGCGGCUGACUGGAGCCCGACUUCUGCCUCAGCUAAUCCAGCGGAGCUGGAGCACGUCCUUACCUAAAGUUCUCGGCCGUCUUAGGCACAACGUCUGCAAAGAGCUCGAUCUUCAUGCGGCCAACUUCCUGCAAUCAGCGGGAGAGUGUCAGAAGGCCCAGUCCAAGACCAUGAGGGCUUCACGGAGCAGGGGGCAUGAUGGGCUGACCCACCACCCUGCCGCUCGGUAUCUCCCACCUCCGCCUCCCUAGUCUAACCGCCCAGUUCCUCCAGAAGCGGGGCGCUAGGAUUGGGGAGACUCCUCCUCCUCCUUUCCCCCCGCCCGGCAGGUCGGUAGGUUCGGGUGCAAUUUCACUUUCUGGCUGGCUUCCCGAGUCCGCUCUCUCUGGGUGAGUUCUGCCUGCCUAGCCCCGAGCAGUUUCCCUUCGGCGCAGGUGUGGGCAGCCUCCUGGAUCUCACCUGACCGCCAAUACUGACAUCAAAGAACACCACGGGGUUAACAGGACUUGAAUUUGCCACCGCCAUGGCUCCGACCCGGAAGCAGAAGUCGGGAGCGUGGGAUUCCGGCGAACCUAAAGCCCGGUCCGCGGAUUUCGUCCGGGGAGCAGGCGCGGUAGACGUGGAGCGAGACCAGGCUCCGCCCCCGGAAGCUGUCGCCCCGUGCGGUGUGUGCUGAGACUGCUAGGGUCUAGCUGAGAGACUCUGCCUGGCACUGGGGACGCGGGAGUGAGGAGGAGGAAAGCCUUGACAUCUUUUUGGUUAAGGUCAAUGGUCACCCCACUCACGUGGCUGUACUAAGGGCAGUACAAGUUGAUCUUGCUCUAGCUAGGACUUUUGGACUAGGCAGUCGCCAGGGUCCUCCUUAUCGGCUCUUGCAGCCAAGCCCUCUGCACCGCCACACGUGCUGUCUGUCUUCUGCCCGCUAGUGUGAACACCGUGAAGGCAGGAACUCUGGUUUGUUCAUCCUCAGCGUUUAGAACAGCUUGGCACGUACAGGCUUGCUAAGUAAAUAUCCCUUCCUCUAAGUCAGGACAAUAGAUAAUGUUUGUUCUGCCACAAAAGCUACCAGUUUUGUCAUUUCCAAUUCAUUUCCCAUAAAGCAACUAGAGUUUUUUAUUUUUUAUUUUUAAAAUAACUCUUGUGCUUCCUAUUUAUUUUAAAAAUAACUCCUGGCUUCCCAUAUUUAGAAUAAAAUCCAAUUCCGUGCA